UGGAAGUAAAAGUCGUAACAAGGUUUCCGUAGGUGAACCUGCGGAAGGAUCAUUCACAAGAUUAUAUUUUAUAUUACUUUGUGGAACAUUUGGUUGAAUUUACAUGUUUUAUUACAAAAAAUUAAUUAUAAUUAAAAAAAUAAUUUUAAGAAAACCUCCAACAACGGAUCUCUUGGUUCCCAGAUCGAUGAAGAGCGCAGCGAAUUGCGAAAUGUGAUGUGUAUUGCAGUGAAUCAUCAAUUCUUGAACGCACAUGGCACCCCUUUUAGGGGUAUGCUUGUAUGAGGGUGUUUAAUAUGAAAUUGCUUUGGCUUUUUUUAAAUAAAUGGUUUUUCAAAUUGUUACUAAUAGACGAAAGAAUCAGUGCAACAAGCUGUGUUGAAUCUUUCAUUAAAUCUUUUAGUUAACUACUUUAACUAUUUGCACCUCAUAUCAAGCAAGACUACCCGCUGAACCUAAGCAUAUCAAUAAGCGGAGG
rnacentral:misc_RNA from 1 species